UACGUAGGGGGCAAGCGUUGUCCGGAAUCAUUGGGCGUAAAGCGCGUGUAGGCGGCUUCGUAAGUCCGUUGUGAAAGUCCAGGGCUCAACCCUGGAAUGCCGAUGGAUACUGCGGAGCUAGAGUCCGGAAGAGGCGAGUGGAAUUCCUGGUGUAGCGGUGAAAUGCGCAGAUAUCAGGAGGAACACCAAUGGCGAAGGCAGCUCGCUGGGACGGUACUGACGCUGAGACGCGAAAGCUAGGGGAGCGAACGGG
rnacentral:rRNA from 1 species